CGAGUCGGCUGGGUGAUCGCGGCGGGAAACCGUCGAGGAAAGUCCGGACUCCACAGAGCAGGGUGGUGGGUAACGCCCACCCGGGGCGACCCGCGGGACAGUGCCACAGAAAUCAGACCGCCCCCAUGGGGUAAGGGUGAAACGGCGAGGUAAGAGCUCACCGCGUUCCUGGCGACAGGGACGGCACGGCAAACCCCACCCGGAGCAAGACCAAGAAGGGCUUCGGCCCGCGGAGGCCGUUCGAGCGUUGCUCGCGCGAGGUCUCCGGGUAGGUUGCACGGCACGGUCGGAAGGUCGUGUCGGAGGCGGCUGGCAACAGCCGUCACAGAUGGAUGAUCACCUCUCGCGAGAGAUCAGAAUCCGGCUUACGGCCGGCUCGUCCC
rnacentral:RNase_P_RNA from 1 species